AUGAGAACUGUGUUCUUCUUAGGUUGUGUUCUUUGAACUGAUAGGCUUGAUUCUCACGAAUCAAGAGAGGUUUAUCCUCAAUUUAUCAUUCCAAUACUGUCAUUGUACUUAGGUACAUGACAAUUGGUAUCUAGAACCGUUUUUUCCUGAGAAAUCAUGAUUGAUGAGAUGAAUUUACAGGAGGAAAAAUGGGCAUAUAUGAAUGGGAAAUUGGUACCCAUAGUGAAGUUGGAACGACUAGCAACGGAGGAUUUAGACACUUGUCGAUGGUGGUAUCGGUUUUAGAUGGAAAAGAGUAUAUCUCCCGAUCGAGAGAAAUCCAUUCGGAAGUGGUCAAAAUUGAUGAACAAGACAUUGAAGAAGUUGACAUCAAUUAUGUUUAUUAGGUAUACUUCUUCAGCUCAUCAGCCUCCUUGCAGAGUGAAAGUCGCUGCAUCAGCUGUUGAUGAAUUUUCAUAAUUGAUUCCCACUUUUUUAUUUGAAUAAGUUUCAACUGUGGUUAGCUCAAUUCCUUCAGCUAUCGACGAAGAAGAGUAUUCUCUCAAUUCAGGGUUGAUUCCUUCAAUUUUCCUUGAUGGAAAGAAUGAUUUGUCUGUUGAUCAGAGUUUUCCGUUUGAUAAAGUGGCGAAAUCUGAUGUUUUCGAAGGAAAUAGGUUAAGUGAAUUCCAAAUUUGGGAAGUACAGCAGCUAAGAAACAAUGGCCUGACUGAACUAAUUGUGAGAAAUGGCGUCCAAAUUUUUUCUGAGGCCUAUGAAAAUGUUCACUGUUUGACCAAGUUACUCUUUCUCUACAACAAAUUUCUAGGAAUGGCUUGUUUUCACUUCCAACUUGAUGCUUAUCGCUUGUUUUCGAUCGGGGUAAGUCUGUUGUUCUCUCCUCAAACUCUAAUGGCAAUUUUCUUCGAUUGAUUAUUUACUUUGGGUAUAAACCAGAUUGUUCAUCUAUGCAAUCGAUUAAUCUUUUAUGUAUAAAUGAUGCCGAGGUUUAUGAUGAUAGGAAUUUGUUUGUUAAAAUGUAUGAGAGUAGUGUUGGAGUUGAUUUUCUCUUACAACUCAAAAUGGGUAGACUUUUUGAUCCUGGCAAAGAAUCAGAUAGUAUUAAGGAGUUUUCUAACUCAGUUGGUGAUUAUGAAUGUGGUUUUAUUACACCUACUCCUAUGAUUUUUUUCCUGUGUCGAUUUUAAGAGAAAGGUACAAUGGAAUUUUGGUUCUUGAGCUGUUACCAAGACAUGUGUAUCCGUUUGAUUCUCAGAUUCUGAAUUCCUUGGGUCUUAGAAUUCUCCAUGUUGCUGAAAUUGGUGGUGCAUGGAAUUUGUUUGCUGCGUUUUCAGAGGGAAAUAAAUUUUUGUUUCUUUUAUUGGUUAGAGUGGUGAGCUUUAACAUGGAACCUAAAUGGUUUUCUCAAGUGCUGAGUAUGAUGGGAGAAGAAAUUUUUUCUUACAACUCAAAUAUGGGUUGCUUCAGCUGAAGUAUGUUUUGCCUGAUGCAAUUUUUGGUUGUCAGUUUGAGUCCUUGGUUGUUGGUUUUAUUCGACUCCUUAAAGAAGUAUUUAACCCAGCAUAUACUUCAUCUAUCCUAUAUCAUGAGGUGCACCAGUCCAGGGUUAUCAUUGACCGACAAGACAGCAAUGUGCACCAGAUUCUUUUGAAAAAGUUUCGCAAAUUUCAGUGCUUAUAUUCUCAGUUCACACAUAUGUUAGGACUCGUUUAUAUCAUGCAAGAAUUGAUACUUUUCAGAAAUCUCCAUUACUUACUUCUGAAACAUUUUGGAGGUUUCUGAUUCAAGAGGGAGUUAUAACGACAGUUGGGCGUUUAAAGUGGAGUUAUCUGCAUACUUUUUGUCCUGUUGGGUAUUUUCAGAAUCAAGUUACCUAUAUACUGAUGUGGGUGGCCUUUUUGAAAUGGAAAUACAAAUUGUACUUUAGGGUCUUAUGGAGUGCACUGAAUGUUAGUGAGAGACAUUGUAAGAUGUUUGUGGGAGUUUACUUCUCUCUUUCCAGGCUUGUGAGCUCAUAUUGUACCUCAGCUGGCAAUGUUUUCUUACAAAAGCUUAAAGUUGAAGGUGUCAAGGUAUUUCUGAACUCUAUCAUAAGCACUGGUCCCUUCUACCUGCACUAUGCUCACUAUGAACUAUAUGGGUGUAUUCACCUGUGGAUUUCGAAGGGUGUGGGACAUCUGUGUAUGAGUUUGUUUUUGAAGGGGGGUACUAACUGGAGUUGGUGUUGGCAGCCUUGAUCAUGUUUUUAAUUGUGCUAUGGUUUAUUGAAUCUGAGAACAAUAGUAAUAGUGGUUUCUACUUGCUUGUGCUUUGGUCUCCAUCUGAAGUAUGUGGAAGACUGGCGACUCACGAGAGAAUUAUAUUGCAAGUUAUGCAGUCCCUUUGUAGUUCUUUGCAAGCAUUUUUCCCUACCUGGUAUUUUACUCCUUGCUGCAAGGACAUACCAGCUUUAUCCAACUUGGAUUCGAGUGAAUAUUACCCUGGUAUAUGGAAGUUUUUGUCAAAUGGUGAUUCUCAUAUCAAUGAGGUACUGGUAUUCACGCAUGUGAUGAGGAGAGUUUCUGUGAUUCUCGAGCACUUGUAGUUUAAUGGUUGGCUUACAGUCAAGGGUUACAUACGUAGUGAACUUUUGGGAGGUAGAAUAACGGUGGGGAACUUCGCUUAUCUCGUUGUAUCUGAAGUCAAGACUGUCUUUGCAACUGUGCCGGAGCUCAGGAAUCUUCCACCAAGGGUAGACAACACCGUACAAGUUCAGAGUGGAGCUUACGAAAAUUUCACAGAAGAGGAGCUCAAGGAAAUCCAAUUUCCUUAGUGUCAGGUACUCUUCGCAAUGAUGAUUCUGCCAUGAUUGAUUUUUGUCCUUGUGUUAUGAGCGACUUAUGUCCUGGUGCUACUAUAAACUUUUUUCUGUGGUGUAUCCACCACCAAAAGGAUUGUAUCCAGUUGGAGACUUCUGAAGGGUUAAAGAACAUUCAGUUCGGACUCGCGAUGUUUUAAGAUCCUACUGUGCUAAUGUUCGUGGUAUCCUUGGUGUGGGUUUUAUUGAGGAUAUACUUGAUAACAAAUGGUGAUACUAAUCUCACCUGUGUACUGAAGAUCUGUAUCCCAGUUCAAGGGUUUCUGCUAUAUAUACAUAUCAAGCUGGGAGUUGUGCAGAUUUAGUCAUUGUACCUUGCAGUUAAGUGGUCUGUGAGUUCCGGGUCAGAAUUGGAUUUAUGGUCAGAGGAACACAAGUUCAGUACACAUUGAAGUAGAGACUUCCAAGUUUCUCAUAGUAUUCAACUAUGUGCUACAUUUUUCCUUGGUAGACGAAGUCAUGAAGAUAAGGGGUAAUGAGCACUCAAGAGUUCACUCCACUGGUUCGUUUUCAGGGAGUAAUUACAACUUGGAGAUUCACAGGGAGUCUAAAAAGAGGGCAGUGGACGGCUGGGCUUUAUGUGAAGGUGUUUAUGGGCCUCACGUGGGUUUUCACUUUUCAGUGGCAUUGUAGGGUCGGGUCUUCUGAUGGAAUUUCUGAUGCGUGCCUCUCCAACUUUCAUAGUAAUUCACCCUACUAUCAUCCUUGAGGACAAAGAUGUUUCUGAGGGGAGUAGAAUGUCAUGUGUCCGAGGGUGCCCCAUAUCGUAUUUGCAUCUGUCCUUAGAAAUACUGGUACUUCAUAUAAUUAGUAGUUAAUUCUCAGUGUAACCGGCCGCUAUGAUGUGACCACCUGGAGCGUUGCUAGCUGUUAGAUAUUAGGUUAGAAGAGGGUUGCUAUAUUAGCAGAAGGUCUGUAAUUGAAACAUUAAGCAAAUUAUUAAUCAAAUUAGAACUGUGUUCUUCUUA